ACCUGGUUGAUCCUGCCAGUAGUCAUAUGCUUGUCUCAAAGAUUAAGCCAUGCAUGUCUAAGUAUAAUAGCUUGUACUGUGAAACUGCGAAUGGCUCAUUAAAUCAGUUAUCGUUUAUUUGAUAAUACCUUACUACUUGGAUAACC
rnacentral:rRNA from 1 species